UACAGAGGGGGGCAAGCGUUGUUCGGAAUUACUGGGCGUAAAGGGCGCGUAGGCGGCCUGCUAAGUCGAACGUGAAAUCCCCAGGCUCAACCUGGGAACUGCGUCUGAUACUGGAUGGCUUGAAUCCGGGAGAGGGAUGCAGAAUUCCAGGUGUAGCGGUGAAAUGCGUAGAUAUCUGGAGGAAUACCGGUGGCGAAGGCGGCAUCCUGGACCGGCAUUGACGCUGAGGAGCGAAAGCCAGGGGAGCAAAGCGGG
rnacentral:rRNA from 1 species